AGAGUUUGAUCCUGGCUCAGAGCGAACGCUGGCGGCGUGCUUAACACAUGCAAGUCGAGUGCACGGUAGCAAUACUGGUGCACGGCGCACGGGUGCGUAACACGUGGGCAAUCUACCCUCGAGUGGGGAAUAACCCGCCGAAAGGCGGGCUAAUACCGCAUGACAUUCCUUGGACUUCGGUUCGAGGACUCAAAGCCGUA
rnacentral:rRNA from 1 species